GUCCCUGUAGCGCAACGGAGAGCGCGUUGGACUUCUAAUCCAAAGAUCGUGGUUUCGAAUCCCACUUAGGAUG
rnacentral:tRNA from 1 species